rnacentral:rRNA from 1 species
AACGUAGGAGACAAACGUUAUCCGGAGUUACUGGGCGUAAAGGGCGUGCAGGUGGUCUGUUAAGUUCGUUGUGAAAGCCCCGGGCUCAACCUGGGAAUGGCAAUGGAAACUGGCGGGCUGGAGUAUGGCAGAGGGGGGUGGAAUUCCGCGUGUAGCAGUGAAAUGCGUAGAGAUGCGGAGGAACACCGAUGGCGAAGGCAGCCCCCUGGGCCAAUACUGACGCUCAUGCACGAAAGCGUGGGGAGCAAACAGG